rnacentral:rRNA from 1 species
GACGAACGCUGGCGGCGUGCUUAACACAUGCAAGUCGAACGGAAAGGCCCUGCUUUUGUGGGGUGCUCGAGUGGCGAACGGGUGAGUAACACGUGAGUAACCUGCCCUUGACUUUGGGAUAACUUCAGGAAACUGGGGCUAAUACCGGAUAGGAGCUCCUGCUGCAUGGUGGGGGUUGGAAAGUUUCGGCGGUUGGGGAUGGACUCGCGGCUUAUCAGCUUGUUGGUGGGGUAGUGGCUUACCAAGGCUUUGACGGGUAGCCGGCCUGAGAGGGUGACCGGGCACAUUGGGACUGAGAUACGGCCCAGACGCCUAAGGGAGGCAGCAGUGGGGAAUAGAGCACAAUGGGCGGAAGCCGGAUGGAGCAACGCCGCGUGCGGGAUGACGGCCUUCGGGUUGUAAAACGCUUUCGCCUGUGACGAAGCGUGAGUGACGGUAAUGGGUAAAGAAGAACCGGCUAACUACGU